GUGUUAGCUUCAGCAGCACGUAUACAGAAUUGGAAAGAUACAGAGAAGAUUAGCAUGACCCCUGCGUGCAGAUGACAUGCAGAUUCCUGUAUAUACCUGCUGUGGU
ensembl:snRNA U6 U6 spliceosomal RNA